rnacentral:misc_RNA from 1 species
UUUCCGUAGGUGAACCUGCGGAAGGAUCAUUAAAGAACGCCCCGUUUUUUGAAAUGGGUAAUUCUAAACCGUGUAUACAUACCUUUGUUGCUUUGGCAGACCGCCCCUCAGGGCGUCGGCUCCGGCUGACUGCGCCUGCCAGAGGACCCAAACUCUUUUGUUUAGUGAUGUCUGAGUACUAUAUAAUAGUUAAAACUUUCAACAACGGAUCUCUUGGUUCUG